AUACGAAGGGGGCUAGCGUUGUUCGGAUUUACUGGGCGUAAAGCGCACGUAGGCGGAUUGACAAGUUAGGGGUGAAAUCCCGAGGCUCAACCUCGGAACUGCCUCUAAUACUGUCAAUCUCGAGACCGGAAGAGGUGAGUGGAACUCCUAGUGUAGAGGUGGAAUUCGUAGAUAUUAGGAAGAACACCAGUGGCGAAGGCGGCUCACUGGCUCGGUACUGACGCUGAGGUGCGAAAGCGUGGGGAGCAAACAGGAUUAGAUACCCUAGUAGUCC
rnacentral:rRNA from 1 species